rnacentral:sRNA from 1 species
UAGGGAUAGCAGCGGAAAGCCCACAGCUUGCGUAGGACUGUGUGCGGGCAAAGCGAGGACUUGCAGCGGAUAGCCCGGGCCGCA